rnacentral:rRNA from 1 species
UUGUUAAAGAGUUUGAUCCUGGCUCAGGAUGAACGCCGGCGGCACGCUUAACACAUGCAAGUCGAACGGACUGUCAGAGCUUGCUCUGAUAAGUUAGUGGCGGACGGGUGAGUAACACGUGAGCAACCUGCCUAUCAGUGGGGAACAACGUUUGGAAACGAACGCUAAUACCGCAUAACAUAGUUAGAGGGCAUCCUCCGACUAUCAAAGAUUUAUUGCUGAUAGAUGGGCUCGCGUCCGAUUAGGCAGUUGGCGGGGUAACGGCCCACCAAACCGACGAUCGGUAGCCGCGCUGAGAGGCGAAACGGCCACAUUGGGA